UACGGGGGGGGCAAGCGUUGUUCGGAAUUACUGGGCGUAAAGGGCGCGUAGGCGGCCUGCUAAGUCGGACGUGAAAUCCCUCGGCUCAACCGGGGAACUGCGUCCGAUACUGGCGAGGCUUGAAUCCGGGAGAGGGAUGUGGAAUUCCAGGUGUAGCGGUGAAAUGCGUAGAUAUCGGAAGGAACAUCAGUGGCGAAAGCGGCUUCCUGGACCAGCACCGACGUUCAGGCACGAAAGCGUGGGGAGCAAACAGG
rnacentral:rRNA from 1 species